AUAAAGGAGUCGAAAUGUUGUCGUGAACUGAAAAGGCUAAAUUUCACUGACACUGGUUGGCACGGUCAAAAGGUGAAC